AUGUUGUUUUCUUUCAGCAAUUCAUCAAAUGGCAAAGUGUAUUUGAGUAAAAAUUGUAUUGGAGUCUACAAACGUUAUCAGCUAUGUAAUGAUGUGCCUUGUCCAUCCUCUGUUCAAGAUUUUCGUUCAGAACAAUGUUCGGCAUAUGAUGAGGUUGAUUUUCAGGGCCAGCAGUAUACAUGGGAGCCUUAUGUUAAAGACGAUGCUGAAUGUGAAUUGAAUUGCAAACCGGUGGGCAAACAAUAUUUUGCCACCCUAAAUGCCUCGGUUUUGGAUGGAACACCAUGCGAAAGACCAGCUGAAUAUUAUCGGUCAAAUUAUCGUGGUCGUGCCAUGUGCAUUGAGGGUAUUU